UCCCUGAUGGCUCAGAGGAUAAAGUGUCUGUCUGCAAUGCGGGAGACCUGGGUUCGAACCCCCGGUCGGGAAG
rfam:TPA: Bos taurus chromosome 8, whole genome shotgun sequence.